CCAGCAGCUGCGGUAAUUCCAGCUCUAAUAGCGUAUAUUAAAGUUGUUGCAGUUAAAAAGCUCGUAGUUGGAUUUCUGGCAGGAGCGACCGGUCUCACACUCUGUGUGAGAACUCGUGUUGUCUCUGGCCAUCCUUGGGGAGAUCCUGUUUGGCAUUAAGUUGUCGGGCAGGGGAUACCCAUCGUUUACUGUGAAAAAAUUAGAGUGUUCAAAGCAGGCUAUUGCUUGAAUAUAUUAGCAUGGAAUAAUGGAAUAGGACUUUGGUGCUAUUUCGUUGGUUAUGGGACCGAGGUAAUGAUUAAUAGGGACAGUUGGGGCCGUUCAUAUUUCGUUGUCAGAGGUGAAAUUCUUGGAUUUACGAACGAUGAACUUAUGCGAAAGCAUUCGGCAAGGAUGUUUUCAUUGAUCAAGAACGAAAGU
rnacentral:rRNA from 1 species